rnacentral:rRNA from 1 species
AUUGAACGCUGGCGGCAUGCCUAACACAUGCAAGUCGAACGGCAGCACAGUAAAGAUUUCGGUCUUUAUGGGUGGCGAGUGGCGGACGGGUGAGUAAUGCGUAGGAAUCUGUCCUGGAGAGUAGGAUAACCCGAGGAAACUCGGGCUAAUACUGCAUGAUAUCGAGAGAUCAAAGGCAGGGGACCCUUCGGGGCCUUGCGCUCUAGGAUGAGCCUACGUCGGAUUAGCUAGUUGGUGGGGUAAAGGCCUACCAAGGCGACGAUCCGUAGCUGGUCUGAGAGGAGGACCAGCCACACUGGGACUGAGACACGGCGCAGGCUCCUACGGGAGUCAGCAGUGGGGAAUCUUGGACAAUGGGGGAAACCCUGAUCCAGCGAUGCCGCGUGUGUGAAGAAGGCCUUCGGGUUGUAAAGCACUUUAGUUGGGGAAGAAAAGUAAUGAGUGAAUAACUGAUUGCUCUGACGGUACCCAAAGAAUAAGCACCGGCUAACUCUGUGCCAGCCGCCGCGGUAA